AUGUGCCACACGGCUGAGGCGCGGGUCGAAGCCAACCUCUCGCACCUUGUCGGUGCGCGCCAGGAAGAAGUUAACCACGCCGUCUGUGACCACGCAGCCUGGGAAGCCAACGAGCUCGUGGUGGAAGCCGCGCCUUUGCCGGAAGCAGUUCCCAAGGCCUGGGGCGCCGGGGUCCAUGCUCAGCAGCUGCCGCUGCGCCCUCCACUACCAGGUCCAGCGGCGUCCGCUCCAGCACGUCCACAAGCCGCUCCAGCCGCGUGCGCGCGGUGAAGAUAAAGUCGUCGUCCACCCACAGCACGUACUUGGUGGUUACUUGGGACACGGCCAGAUUCCGUCCUGCGAACCAGCCCUGGGGGUGCGCGGUGGGAGGUUGUACGGUUAUGAAGUCUAUAGAAAUAAGACACCCCUAUUGCUUUUCUUCCUCUCGUGACCCCUGGAAACGGCCUAUGCCUUUCUCUAAACUUCUGGGUGCUUUCCAAUUACCAGAAGCGAGGUCCAAAAGGUGCAGACUCCCACCCUCACUCCUAGAGGUGAGUCAGUGUUCCGGAAGGGAGGAUCUUGAAUGCUUUAAAUCAGGCCUGCGUUCACUCACUAACUCCUGGAUUAUGUUACUGAGCGCCCAGGAGGUACUGAGCACCAUUCUAAGAAUUCAGAGUGAAUAAGACCGUCAGGAUUCCUGCCUCUUCAGAGCUCUUACAUUCCAGGAACCCUGGAGCGAGGCAGUCUUCCAAUUACUACCCUGGAGGGACGCAGACUAAGGGGACAGCCCAUCCCAAAGUCCACAGGUGCCAAGCUCGGCCUUGCAGGCUGCGCACCUUGCCAAAGGGCAUGAGAUAAUGCUCCACGUGAGGGCCGCUAAUUCGAUCUGGCUUGUCGCUGUCGUCAGCGAUGACCACAGUGACGGUGGGGUAGAAGCGUCGGAUGCUGGCGAUGAGUGCCCGUAGCCGAUCAUAUCGAAGGAACGUUUUGGUGGCAAUGGUGACUAGAGCGCUGAUGUUGUACUGGGCUGGGAGAGAAGACUCAGGGUUGGGUGCAGAGAGGGCAAAUGGGGAAAGAAGCAGGAAAGACCCGCUCCCAGGGUUGCCACCUCCCACCUUGCUCCCCACCAAGGUUGGGUCUACUACCUCCCUGCCCCAACUGGCCUCACCUCCCUGGGGUUGAGAUCCAGGCGGGUACAGCCGGGGGUUGGGAGGAUGUCUUAUGCGGAUGGUGAAGGCAGCCUGGUGUCCCUCUGUGGAGAACCGGACUGAGAAAAAAAGACAUGAGAUUGGAACCUUAAGGUUUGGACAACAUUCUCUUUUCAGUGGAUAUAAAAAAGGGAUUCAACCACAGCCAUCCUGGUCUAAGCAGAGAUCACUUUAAAUCCCUUCCCCCAUUUGCCUACACCUGCUGCAGAGGUGUUAUGUGACUAUAAGAGGCAGUAAGCACAGUCAUACCCUAUAAUUCCCAAUCAUUGUUUAACCCUGCUCUUGACAAACAACACCCAACUCCUUGUAUGUCCUCAAGCCCUGUCCUGGGCAGAUUGCCACAACUCCUUUGUUCUGAACUCUCUCCUUUGAAAGUCCCAAUGUGACUUUUUACUUCCACAGCCCCCUUUGUUAUGCUCAUGACCCUAUAAAGACCUUAUAGCCUGUAAGACCGGGGCAGGUCUGGUCUCUAGUGCCAGAGUGGUCCCUCUCAGGUUUGUUCUGAAAUAAACCUGUCUUGUUGAGCUGUA